rnacentral:rRNA from 1 species
UGGGGGAAUUUUCCGUCAAUGGGCGGAAAGCCUGACGGAGCAAUGCCGCGUGGAGGUGGAAGGCCUACGGGUCGUCAACUUCUUUUCUCGGAGAAGAAACAAUGACGGUAUCUGAGGAAUAAGCAUCGGCUAACUCUGUGCCAG